AAUAACUCUGUAUUGCCCCUCCCACAGCCCCUGGCAACCACCAUUCUACUUUCUGUCUCUGAAUUUAACUACUCUCUAAAUACCUCAUAUAAGUGGAAUCAUACAACAUUUGCCUUUUGUUGACUGGCUGAUUGCAUUUAGCAUAAUGUUCUCGAGGUUUAUCCAUGCUGUAGCAUGUGUCAGAAUUUCCUUCCUUCUUGGUUGUAUUCUUAAUGCAACAUAGCUUAUUCUCUGUGGUCUGCUGAUUAUAACCAUCAUCACUGGGAAGUCUUUGGUGUGCUUCACAUUUUUGUGACUUCUUUUCAGUGGUGGAAAUAGAUAGCUCAGUUGUGGAUGGUAGCAGCAAUGGGAAACAGUGUUUGAGAAGAAAUCAGACCCUUGUCUUCCAGUCUUUUACAAAUGGGUGACACGGGAGAUAAAUAGAACUGCUGUGCCCCUCCACAUCACCCCCAAUUUUCUUUGUUUCUUCUGCCCAAGUCUUCAGUCAAUCACAGAGAAGCAAUGAGAGUCGAAGAUUUUAAAAGUGGGUUUUCAAAUAAGAUAGCCUUGGGUUCCAGUCCUACCUCUGAAACUUACUAUGUAAUCUUGGGUAACGUGAUUAAACUCUCUGAGCCUCAGUUCUGUAAUCUGUACAUACAGACAAUAAUGCUUUUAUCAAAAAAGUGUGCUUUUUUUUUCUUCUGAGUGCUGAGAUGCUUUCUGUAUUUUUCUGGAUUUCAGCAUAGUUUCCAAAGUUAAAAUGUUAACACUAUUACCUGUCCCAUUGGGUUGUUUACAAAUGCAUUUCCCGCAGUGAUUGCAGAGAAGUGAUGACUACAGGCAGAGCUUAGACUUGUUGUACUUGUGCUAAUGUCUUGCUUCUCACAUCUCCAUUUCUUCUGUUUUCCUUGUUCAAUAUCUAUAUCCAUAUUCACCCUUAUGAAGUUGUCAUUCAGACUUUUAGCCUAUUUGUUCUCUCCACUGAUACCAUUAUUUCUUAUAGCUUCUCAGAGUCCUUACGUGCUUCUCCAUGUUUAUAUGUCUUGAAACUUUUAAAUUCUUAAUCAAAACAAUCGUAAAUGUGUCUAUUACAAACACAUUAAAAUUCUUUGAUUACAUAAACACUGAUAAACAAUUCUUAUAAAACUGCUUUUGUACUACAUUAAGUUCAAAAUAGAUGGCACAUGUUUAACUUUGUACACUGUAGAAAUUCUAAGCAUCAUUUCGAAAAGAAUAAGCAAAUACAGUGUAUUUUCUUGCACAUAAUUAUUUGCAAUGCACAUAAUUCUUAUAGACCUGUUUUACCUAUCUGUCCUAUCUCUGUAUAGAUGAUGAUGAUGACAAUGAUAGCAGGCAACAUUUAUGAUGUUUUUAUAUGUGAAGCACUGUUCUAACCACUUGCAUGAAUUAACUCAGUCACCAUAGGACAGGAGCUGUUAUUAUCCCAAUUUCACACACAUUCACAGAACACUUAUGUGUUCCAAAAAGGAAACUUCAACAAAGUAGGACAUGAGCUUAUCAUAGAUAGUGUGCAAUAAGUUUCUAUUAUUAAUUCUUCCUUAAACUGCAUGGGAGUCAAAGUCACUUUUCUUAGCCUCAUUAGCUUUCUCUCCCUUUGGAGUGUGCACCUCUCCUUUUCUGUCUGACACCUGUCUCCUUUCUUCACUGAGUGUGUCCAGUUUUGUCCAGCAAUACCUGCCCUCAUAGAACUCACGUUCUAGUUGGGAAGAUCCUAAGAAACAGCAGAACAACAAGUAAUAUUGAUUUCAAGUUGCAAGAAAUGUUAUAAAAGAAAGAAAAGUGAUACCAGAGAGCAAAAUCGAAUGGCAGACUGGGUAUGAAGGGCUGGCUGUGUGAGUGGAAGAGAGGCUCUCCUGAGGAAGGGAUGUUUGUGAUGAGCCCUGAAUGACAGAGAGGACAGCAAGUGUAAAGGCCCUGGGGCAGGAAUGAAUUGAACAUGUGUGAAGAAGAGCAAAAAGAGCAGGGAGGCUAGAAUGUUUUGAGUAAGGAGGAUACUGUGGGGCUUCUGUCUUUUUCUUCCUCUGCUCCCCAACACUCUUGUAUUUUCCGUCUUAGGCUCUGAAUUCAAAGAAAUGAUUUGGAAUGGCAAAGUCCUGAGAUGUCAUCCACCGGGAGUGUUGGGUAUAGGGGGACACAGCAAGAUAAUUAGCCUAAGAAAGGUUAUACCCUGAGUAUCUUCCAUAUAUACCCAUAGCCCCAUACGUUUUUUUCUUGCAAAGGCAGAUAAGACGAACAUAAGACAGAAGUGGAAUCCCAGCACAGUUCCUCCUCAGUGCUCCACAGCACAGAACAGACCUCAGAUAUCAUGCUUCACACAAGUAUGGUGACUCUUUUUUUAAUGUCUGCCUCUCCACUACACUGGAAAUUGACUGAGGACAGACCUUAGAUCAUAAUCAUUCUUCAGUUAUUUUUCUUUCUUCCAUUCAUUUUAUCAAUAGAUACUUCUUGAGUGCCAUCUAUGUGCCAACCACUCGUACUAGACCCAUCUCUCUAUUCACAGAUAUGAUUCUGAGCAAGAAAGACACAGCCCCUGCUCUCAAGUUUCCAACAGUAUUGCAGAAGAGUAAUACCAUAAAAUAGUAUAGUAUAGUACAGUGUGUGAUGCUUCAGCUCUGGGGAUGCAGGGAAAAUGUUCCAAAGGAAGUGACAGUUGAGUCCAGUCAGGACUUGGAGGUGUAAAUAAAGGCGAAUCUGUGUG